GCGCAGGCGGAUUAGAAAGUCUGGUGUUAAAAGCAAUUGCUUAACGAUUGUAUGCAUUGGAAACUUCUAGUCUAGAGUUUGGUAGAGAGUCCUGGAACUCCAUGUGGAGCGGUGAAAUGCGUAGAUAUAUGGAAGAACACCAGAGGCGAAGGCGAGGACUUGGGCCAAUACUGACGCUUAGGCUUGAAAGUGUGGGGAGCAAAUAGGAUUAGAUACCCUAGUAGUCCACACUGUAAACGAUGGAUGUUAAGUGUCGGAGCGAAUACUUCGGUGCUGCAGUUAACACAUUAAACAUCCUGCCUGAGUAGUACAUUCGCAAGAAUGAAACUYAAACGGAAUUGACGGGGACCCGCACAAGUGGUGGAGCAUGUUGCUUAAUUCGACGGUACACGAAAAACCUUACCUAGACUUGACAUCUUGGGCGAAGCUAUAGAAAUAUAGUGGAGGUCAACCCAAUGACAGGUGGUGCAUGGUUGUCGUCAGCUCGUGUCGUGAGAUGUUGGGUUAAGUCCCGCAACGAGCGCAACCCUUAUCGUUAGUUACUUUGUCUAACGAGACUGCCAACGUAAGUUGGAGGAAGGUGGGGAUGACGUCAAAUCAUCAUGCCCCUUAUGUCUAGGGCUGCAAACGUGCUACAAUGGCCAAUACAAACAGUUGCAAAUCCGUAAGGUGGAGCUAAUCUGUAAAGUUGGUCUCAGUUCGGAUUGAGGGCUGCAAUUCGCCCUCAUGAAGUCGGAAUCACUAGUAAUCGCGAAUCAGCCAUGUCGCGGUGAAUACGUUCUCGGGUCUUGUACACACCGCCCGUCAAACUAUGAGAGCUGGUAAUAUCUAAAACCGUGUUGCUAACCGCAAGGAAGCGCAUGUCUAGG
rnacentral:rRNA from 1 species